CAUUCUUACACAUCAAGCCUAGACAGUAACACCUAAAUUCUCUUCGUAGUCUCAAUUUGUUUUGGUUUUCAGAGCAAUCAUGUGUUGUGGACCUUGCGGUGGCUGCUGUGGACCCUGCGGCGGCGGAUGUUUUGGACCUAAUGUUUGCGGUCCGUGCUAUGCGACAGGACCCUGCUUCGGUUGCUGUGGCGGCAGUGCCUGUGGCCCUUGCGGUGGUUGUUGCAGCAGCUGUGGACCCUCUUGCUAAAUCCGAAAACCCGACUCUACACACUAAAAAAUGGUUCUGCAAUGCCUGGGGGCUGCACAAACGUAUUUUUGGCUUGAAACACAAAUCACAUUGAAAUGCUAUCAAAAUAAAGGAAUGUAAGAAUUCGUAAAA
rnacentral:sRNA from 1 species